ACAGUUCCAACAUGCAACAAUCUUACAUCAGAAAUAUGCCACCACUGGGAUAGACAUCUUUUCUUGAACCAUGUCCUCAUAUCAUCAGACAACUGAAAAGGAUUUCUGUCAUCAACACCUCCAUUGGCUCCAACAAAAUCCUAAUGAGUGCCAGAUGAAAAAGUUUGGCAAAGUGGCAGUAUUAGCAGAUGGUGUGGAGUGGGACAAGAGACAGUCACCAUCAAGUCAUGAAUCUUUCUAUGUUGUUUCCAUGAAAAAAAGACUCAUAGCCAGCUGGGCUGCAAUAUCAAAAAAUCUCAAUUUAUAUACGUUCAGUGAGCAAUUGUGAAGAAGAAAAGAAGCAAAGGUAUUAAGAAUGAGGAAACCAGAGGAGUUAUGAAAAGGUCUACCGAGUUAACUAAUCUAAUGAAGACAUUAGGGAGAUCUUGUUCAGUGGCCAGAAUCUUUUUUUUUUUUCCUUUCUGACAAAGUAAUGAAGCUUUCUGCAUGGAAGAAAAUAAUGGCCCUAAGAACACAGAAUGACACCUUAUAAAAAGCAAGCUGACUUGCUUAAGAUGGAAGGAGGUCACCUCUGUGGUGCUUGAGUAUCUGAUGACCAUCCUCACUGAGCACACAGGGAAUCCCCAUGCCUAUCAAUAUAUCUCCCUAAAGUAUGAGCCCAUCUUUGCUCUAGACACAGAGGGACUGGAAGCUCCUGAAAGCGAUCUUGGGGUCAGUGCAGAUGUCUUUUUUUCAGUGCUCUGUACUUCUAUCCAGUGAACUCUCAUCAGUAAUCCUCACAUCUUAACUGCAGUAAACAUUGUCAGGAAGGAGAUAUGACAACCUGCCUCAAAAACCUUGGAAAUAAACACUGAAAGAUUUUCUUGGCUGCUGCAACAAAUAUAAACACUCAGACCUGUGGAAACAAAAAUGAUGCAAGGACCAGCCUUGUCAUCUUGACAGUAGUGAAGAACUAACUGCCUAGGGGAGUAGAACAGAUUCUCUCAGCAGCUUCUCUCUAAGCUGUUUGCAGAACUGGAAACCAAGCAUCUGAAAGACUCAGACAGGAUUACACUGUUUUUUCUGCUUGAUUCCCUACAGUACCCCAGAAGACAUCCCAUGGUGUUCUUACAUGCACAAACACCAAUCUCCCUAAGAAACCUUGCUGAAGACACAGGAGCAGCCACAUGAGAUUGGAAGGCAAAGAUGCUUAUUAUAAGAGACAAGGUUAUUACAUAACACCCAUCCUUGAAGUCAAAAACUGGUGGCAUAACGGCAAGAAUACCUAGUGUGCAUUCAUUAUUGUACAAGCCUGAAUGGCACAAUUCCAUCUUGGUAUUUUCUGUCGGUUUUGUUGUGAGGACUUGUGAUUACAUAAUCUGCUAUGAUCAUGCUAAAACUAGAUAUCCAACUAAAUCAAUAAAAUGUUCUCUUUUGAGCCAGAAGUUUUCCAUUGCUAAUUUCUGCUGCUUCUUUUCUCUAUUGUCCUAAUUUUCCCAAAAGCUAAUUAUUUGUAAAUUCCAUUAAAACAGUGUUCAGUGAGGUUACUGAAUUUGUUUCACUAUUAGCAAUGUUACAGUUAUAGGUUUUACAAUUAUUCCAAUACAAUGACUGUGACACAGAGUCAGGUAGACUAAAAUAACUGUGAAAGAGACUAAAUGGUUACCAACAGUAGUUUAAAAUUUGUUUAAAUGCAUCUGUGAUUUUGUUUGUAGAAGAUAACAUUAAAAGCAUACAAGAAAAAGAUAAGCAUUAGCAUGAUUUAAUUUCAUGGUAUUUAUGAAUGUACAUCUUUGCAAUUGUUGAUAUUAAUAUCCAAGAGGCCUGAGUUCCCAUAGACUGAAAUGAUCUAUGAUGAUUUAUGGCAGCUGUUAACAUCAUGGCACUAAAUUCCUAUCUGGAUUUCAGUUCAAAACUUGACUCAGUGUCAUAACUUUGAUAACUCAUAUGCAUGGCUUAAUUCAUUUUCUGAUAUCAUGUUACUGUCUUAUUGUCAUUACUUCUCUGUGGCAAAGCAAUCACAUGUUCAAAAAGAAACUGAAAUGGUGUCAUCAAGAACUAUCCUAGCAUAUUUUUCCAAAUUUGUAUAGAAAGUAAUUUUGAUAACCUGCUUUGACAGAAGCAAUAAUGUUUUAUUGUAUGAUUUCAUCUACAG
ensembl:lncRNA